rnacentral:tRNA from 1 species
GCCGUCGUGGCUAAGGGGUAUAGCGACGCCUUGGUAAGGCGUAGGGCGCGGGUUCAAUUCCCGUCGACGGCU